rnacentral:rRNA from 1 species
UACGGAGGGGGCGAGCGUUAUUCGGAAUUAUUGGGCGUAAAGGGCGCGUAGGCGGCUUCAUAAGUCAAAGGUGAAAUCCCUCGGCUCAACUGAGGAACUGCCUUUGAAACUGUGGAGCUUGGGGCCGGGAGGGGGUAGCGGAAUUCCCAGUGUAGCGGUGAAAUGCGUAGAUAUUGGGAGGAACACCAGUGGCGAAGGCGGCUACCUGGACCGGAACUGACGCUGAUGCGCGAAAGCGUGGGUAGCAAACAGG